AUUGAACGCUGGCGGCAUGCCUUACACAUGCAAGUCGAACGGCAGCACGGGAGCAAUCCUGGUGGCGAGUGGCGAACGGGUGAGUAAUAUAUCGGAACGUGCCCAGUCGUGGGGGAUAACGUAGCGAAAGCUACGCUAAUACCGCAUACGAUCUACGGAUGAAAGCGGGGGAUCGCAAGACCUCGCGCGAUUGGAGCGGCCGAUAUCAGAUUAGCUAGUUGGUGGGGUAAAGCCCACCAAGGCGACGAUCUGUAGCUGGUCUGAGAGGACGACCAGCCACACUGGGACUGAGACACGGCCCAGACUCCUACGGGAGGCAGCAGUGGGGAAUUUUGGACAAUGGGCGCAAGCCUGAUCCAGCAAUGCCGCGUGCAGGACGAAGGCCUCGGGUUGUAACUGCUUUGUUACGGAACG
rnacentral:rRNA from 1 species